rnacentral:rRNA from 1 species
UACGUAGGGCGCGAGCGUUGUUCGGAAUUACUGGGCGUAAAGGGCUCGUAGGCGGCCAACUAAGUCGGAUGUGAAAUCCCCAGGCUUAACCUGGGAACUGCAUCCGAUACUGGAUGGCUUGAAUUCGGGAGAGGGAUGCAGAAUUCCAGGUGUAGCGGUGAAAUGCGUAGAUAUCUGGAGGAAUACCGGUGGCGAAGGCGGCAUCCUGGACCGAGAUUGACGCUGAUGAGCGAAAGCUAGGGGAGCAAACGGGG